CCAGUGCUAUACAGCAGGAUCUCAUUGCUUUUCCAUUCCAAAGGCAACGGGAGUACCGUUUUAAAAGGGAAGGGGAGUGAGGACUCUUCAAAUCUAUGGAUUUCUCAGAUCGUCAGAGGAAGUGUAUGGGUACAGUUUCUUCAUGGAGUAACCAUGUAUGAAAAUAAAAAGAGUUGGAAACUCAUUUCCUUUUUUAUUAACAAUC